AUUGAACGCUGGCGGCAGGCCUAACACAUGCAAGUCGAACGAGUGGCGGACGGGUGAGUAAUGUCUGGGAAACUGCCUGAUGGAGGGGGAUAACUACUGGAAACGGUAGCUAAUACCGCAUACCAUCAGAUGUGCCAGGAUGGGAUGGGCUUGUUGGGGGGGUAAGGGUUCACCAAGGCGACGAUCCCUAGCUGGUCUGAGAGGAUGACCAGCCACACUGGAACUGAGACACGUUCAAGAAUCCUCCGGGAGGCAGCAGUGGGGAAUAUUGCACAAUUGGCGCAAGCCUGAUGCAGCCAUGCCGCGUGUAUGAAGAAGGCCUUCGGGUUGUAAAGUACUUUCAGCGGGGAGGCGUUACCCGCAGAAGAAGCACCGGCUAACUCCGUGCCAGCAGCCGCGGUAAUUC
rnacentral:rRNA from 1 species